GACGAACGCUGGCGGCGUGCCUAAUACAUGCAAGUUGAGCGCUGAAGGUUGGUACUUGUACCAACUGGAUGAGCAGCGAACGGGUGAGUAACGCGUGGGGAAUCUGCCUUUGAGCGGGGGACAACAUUUGGAAACGAAUGCUAAUACCGCAUAAAAACUUUAAACACAAGUUUUAAGUUUGAAAGAUGCAAUUGCAUCACUCAAAGAUGAUCCCGCGUUGUAUUAGCUAGUUGGUGAGGUAAAGGCUCACCAAGGCGAUGAUACAUAGCCGACCUGAGAGGGUGAACGGCCACAUUGGGACUGAGACACGGCCCAAACUCCUACGGGAGGCAGCAGUAGGGAAUCUUCGGCAAUGGACGAAAGUCUGACCGAGGAACGCCGCGUGAGUGAAGAAGGUUUUCGGAUCGUAAAACUCUGUUGGUAGAGAAGAACGUUGGUGAGAGUGGAAAGCUCAUCAAGUGACGGUAACUACCCAGAAAGGGACGGCUAACUACGUG
rnacentral:rRNA from 1 species